rnacentral:rRNA from 1 species
GCCUCCGAAGAUAGGAGCCCUUGCACUUGGAGCAACUCACCUACAACCCCGGCGGGUGCACCUGCCGGCGGUCCCAAAAAAACCUCUCGAAGCUUAGCAGUACACGUACGAGACAAAAUUAAUCAAAACUUUCAACAACGGAUCUCUUGGCUCCAGCAUCGAUGAAGAACGCAGCGAAAUGCGAUAAGUAAUGUGAAUUGCAGAAUUCAGUGAAUCAUCGAGUCUUUGAACGCACAUUGCGCCCUUUGGCACUCCUUAGGGCAUGCCUGUUCGAGCGUCAUACAAACCCCCCUCAAGCGUAGCUUGUCGUUGGGCGCAUGUCCCCCCACCCCCAAGGGGGGGACUCGCCCCAAAAUCAUUGGCGGCCCCCGAACCGGCGUGGAGCGCAGCACUCUUUGCGGCUCCUACGCCGGCGCGUUGGCGUCCAGCAAAGCCCCCCACUCCUUUGACCUCGGAUCAGGUAGGGAUACCCGCUGAACUUAAGCAUAUCAAUAAGCGGAGGAAAAGAAACCAACAGGGAUUGCCUCAGUAACGGCGAGUGAAGCGGCAAGAGCUCAAAUUUGAAAUCUGGCACAUGGCUCUCCGCCGUGCCCGAGUUGUAAUUUGUAGAGGGUGCUUUGGCGUUGGCCCCCGCUCAAGUUCCUUAGAACGGGACGUCAUAGAGGGUGAGAACCCCGUACAUGGCCGGAUGGCCUUCGCCUUGUAAAGCCCCUUCGACGAGUCGAGUUGUUUGGGAAUGCAGCUCUAAAUGGGAGGUAAAUUUCUUCUAAAGCUAAAUACCGGCUGGAGACCGAUAGCGCACAAGUAGAGUGAUCGAAAGAUGAAAAGCACUUUGGAAAGAGAGUGAAACAGCACGUGAAAUUGUUGAAAGGGAAGCGCUUGCAGCCAGACUCGCCCGCAGAUGCUCAACCGGCGCUCCUCGCCCGGUGUACUCUUCUGCGGGCGGGCCAGCAUCGGUUUGGGCGGUCGGACAAAGGCCCCGGGAACGUGGCUCCUCUAGGGGAGUGUUAUAGCCCGGGGCGCCAUACGGCCAGCCCGGACCGAGGCCCGCGC